rnacentral:tRNA from 1 species
GGGCCCGUAGCGAAGUUGGGAUCGCGCUACAAUCGCACUGUAGAGGUCAGGGGUUCGAGCCCCCUCGGGUCCA